rnacentral:rRNA from 1 species
GARGAUCUCUUACGGRAGGCARRCAUGGGAAUUCGGCAAUGGUCAGCUGAUCCAGCAUGCCGGUAGUKAAGAGCUCGAUKUAAGCUCUCAGUCGAAAAGAAWAGUWUGACUAUAAUCAWAUUCUAUGACGUAUCGACAGAAGAAGCACCGCUACUACGUGCCAGCAGCCGCGGUAAUACGUAGGGUGCGAGGCGUAUCGGAAUUACUGGGCGUAAAGGGUGCGCAGGCGGUUCUGUAGGUCAGAUGUGAAAUCCCCGGGCUUAACCUGGGAACUGCGUUGAAACUACAGAACUAGAGUGUAGCAGAGGGGGGUGGAAUUCCAUGUGUAGCAGUGAAAUGCGUAGAGAUAUGGAAGAACAUCGAUGGCGAAGGCAGCCCCGUGGGUUAACACUGACGCUCAUGCACGAAAGCGUGGGGAGCAAACAGGAUUAGAUACCCUGGUAGUGACGCCCUAAACUAUGUCAACUAGUUGUCGGGUCUUAUUAGACUUGGUAACGUAGCUAACGCGUGAAGUUGACCGCCUGGGGAGUACGGUCGCAAGAUUAAAACUCAAAGGAAUUGACGGGGACCCGCACAAGCGGUGGAUUAUGUGGAUUAAUUCGAUGCAACGCGAAAAACCUUACCUACCCUUGACAUGUCAGAAAGUUUUCAGAGAUGAAAGUGUGCUCGAAAGAGAAUCUGAACACAGGUGCUGCAUGGCUGCCGUCAGCUCGUGUCGUGAGAUGUUGGGUUAAGUCCCGCAACGAGCGCAACCCUUGUCAUUAAKYRCCAUCAUUCAGUUGGGCACUUUAAUGAGACUGCCGGUGAUAAACCGGAGGAAGGUGGGGAUGACGUCAAGUCCUCAUGGCCCUUAUGGGUAGGGCUUCACACGUAAUACAAUGGCGCGUACAGAGGGUUGCCAACUCGUGAGAGGGAGCUAAUCUCAGAAAGCGCGUYGUAGUCCGGAUCGGAGUYYGCAACUCGACUCCGYGAAGUCGGAAUCGSUAGUAAUCGCGGAUCAGCAUGUCGCGGUGAAUACGUUCCCGGGUSUUGUACMCACCGCCCGUCACACCAUGGGAGUGGGUUUCACCAGAAGCAGGUAGUCUAACCGUAAGGAGGGCGCUUGMCRCGSUGAGGUUCAUSAMKGGGGUGAAGUCGUAACAAGGUAACCGU